rnacentral:lncRNA from 1 species
GAAAAUGUCUCUUUUAAUAUACUUUACAAUAGUAAAACUAUAACGUCUCAAUUGUUUUUUUUUCAAAUAAAUUUGAAUAAUGGUUUAGGUCAUUUGAUAAAUAUCACCUUGUAACUAAUAAGAUGAAACAAAGCUAAAUAGGACCAAUUAAGCACGUGAUUUAAAUAUCGAUAUGUGGUGAGUAAAAGAAUAAUCCAACUACCAGUAGAAGAUUACUACAUUAAGUACUAUAACAAGUGUAACACUGUUCCUAAAAUAAAGUGCUUUAUUAUGUUUAUUUAAGAUUAUUUUAAUGUCGAACACAAAUAAUUAGAUCUUUAAAUGAACAAUUUGGGAGUUAAAUCCAUUGCUUCUGAUUUUUAUAGAUUUUAUGGUCUAGGAAAUCUAUACUGUCUGAUUUGAUCCCAUUUAACUGUAAGAUUUUUACACAUGUUGCACUCUACUAGCUGGCAGGAAAAUUAUUUUAAUCGACUGAAUGAAAGUUUAUUUCAUGUAAAAGUUUAUUAUAUCAAGGAAAUGAUUUAGGUCAGAAGCUAGAAUCUAUAUAAAGUCAGCUUUUGAAAAUAAAUAAAGACAAAUCAUUUUUUUUACAUUAUUAUAAAAGAGCUAAGUUGCAAACAACUAUCCUUGAGACCAGACCUUUUUCUUCUGGAAGAUCCAGAAGGCUGGUAAGGCAUUGUUUCUGGGUAUGUUUAUGAGGAUGUUGCCAAAGGAGACUGACAUUUGAAUUGGUGGACUGGGAGAGGAAGACCCAACUUCAAUGUGGGCGGACAGCAUCCAAUCAUCUGCCAGUCCUGCCAGAACAAGCAGGUGGAGAGAGGUGGGAUCACUUUGCUUCACUAAGUCUUCUGGCUGUCUAUUUCUUCUUUCUGUGCCUGAUGUUUGCUUCUGCUUCUCUUGAACUUGGACAUCAGACUCCAGGUUCUUCGGCCUUUGGACUCUGGGACUUGCACCAGUGGCUUCCCCAGGGCUCCCUGGUCUUCCACCACAGACUGAAGGCUGAAAUGUCAGUUUCCCUGGUUUUUAGGCUUUCAAACUUGGUCUGAGACACUACUACUGGCUUUUCUGUUUCCUCAGCUUGCAGAUGGCCUACUGUGAGACUUUGCCUUGUAAUCAUGUGAGACAAUUCUCCCUAAUAAACCAUCUUUUGUAUAUG